rnacentral:tRNA from 1 species
GAAUAAAUACAACAACUUAGAAUAUGGUCAAUCUGCCUUCUAAGCAGGGGGUUGUAGGUUCGAGUCCUACCUAAAUCGCCA